AUGAAUCGAAAGAACGCACGAGUUUCUCGGGUCGCUGCUGGCCUCGCGAGAGGUAUUCGUGCACGCCCCUGUUUCUCGCGUCGUCCCCCUUUCUUCAUCGACCCCCCUAUACGUGCACCCCUAUGCGGACCGGAAUCUUCCCGGUCUCGCGUCUUUACACACACACACACACGCGUUUUCGAUAGAACAGAAUGAGACAACGUCGAGUUCGCGCUCGUCGGUAAACAUAAUA
rnacentral:misc_RNA from 1 species